rnacentral:rRNA from 1 species
UACGUAGGGUGCGAGCGUUGUCCGGAAUUAUUGGGCGUAAAGGGCUCGUAGGCGGUUUGUCGCGUUGGGAGUGAAAACUCAGGGCUUAACCCUGAGCCUGCUUCCGAUACGGGCAGACUAGAGGUAUGCAGGGGAGAACGGAAUUCCUGGUGUAGCGGUGAAAUGCGCAGAUAUCAGGAGGAACACCGGUGGCGAAGGCGGUUCUCUGGGCAUUACCUGACGCUGAGGAGCGAAAGUGUGGGGAGCGAAUGGG